rnacentral:rRNA from 1 species
ACAGCAGCAGCCGCGGUAAAACGUAGGGGGCGAGCGUUGUCCGAAGUUACUGGGCGUAAAGCGCGCGUAGGCGGCUUCUUAAGUCUGAGGUGAAAGGUUCAACGCUUAACGUGAACAGUGCCUUGGAUACUGGGGAGCUUGAGUAUGGGAGAGGGCAGUGGAAUGGCUGGUGUAGCGGUGAAAUGCGUAGAUAUCAGUCGGAACACCCAUGGCGAAGGCAGCUGCCUGGCCUAAUACUGACGCUGAGGUGCGAAAGCGUGGGGAGCGAACGGGAUUAGAUACCCCCGUAGUCCCUGUCUCUUAUA